CAGGAUCUUUGCUCCCCGGAAAUCAAAGGGGUACGACUUCAGUGUGGCCAUCACUGCACUGAGGACAGCGUCUGAGGACGGUGGGUCUGCAAUUCUGCGGGAGAGAUGGAGACAUGGCAGUGCAAGGGGCAGAGCGAGAGCUGCAGGCAGGUGGGGAGGGGUCGCAUCCCUGCAGGGACAUCCCCACACCCCCGGCAGCACAGCAGGGUUAAUGCUCACCUGAGCAGGCGCAUGCCAGCUGUGGCACCCAGGUAGAGCGGAGUGUCUGCGUGCUUCUCCUUGGGCACAUCUCUCAUAGCCUGGCUCAGGCAGUGCUCUAAGCUCUUCCCAGCAGCCGGAGGUUUGGAGCUGUAGCUGGAGAUGCCAGGACCUGCGGAGAGGGAAACUGCAUCGCCCUGCAGCCAUGGGGGUGGGGGGAGGAUGCUCGGGGAGCGGCUUUGCCCCCCCCCCCGGGUGCUCAGAAAGGCCGAGGGUUGCUGUGGAUGGACACAGCGACAGCAGAACGGGGCUCAGCUGCAGCUCCCUGCCCACAGCUCGCUCCCCGCUGGGCUGGGCAGUGAACCACCCUGGGUUUGGAGAGAGAAACUGCCGGCGUGUUCUGAGCGCAUCUUCCCUGGGAACGGGGGAGGUUUAGGGAGCAGAGCGGGACCCCCCCAGCACCUCCUUGCUCCUGCUGGGAGCGCGGGGAGGCGGCAGAGCCAGCGAGGGACUGCCACCGCCGCAGCCGGGACAGCCCUUACCCUCCACGUCGCACAUGCUGUGCUCGCUGACCACCCCAGUGUCGUUCUCCUUGUCCGCGGGCCACUUGUAGAUGAACACGGCCGUGUGGGAGGAUCCGGCGUCCAGCACGAUGCCGUACUUGAAACUCGGCGGGCCGCGCGCGUCUCCGGAGCCGAGGCAGAGCAGGAGGAUGCCCAGGAGGCAGCCGAGGGCAAGCAGCAGCAGCACGGCGGCGGCCCGGCGGGCCAUGGCGGGGCCGGGCGGGCGCUGCCGCUGCUCGGUGGGGGCAGGUGAGCGGCUCUGCGGCGGCCGCUGCUCCUCCUCCUCGCCCGCCUCUCCCGGCUGACUCACCGCAGCCCCGGCCCACCCGGGCGGGACGCCGGGCCCUGCUGUGCUGCUCGGCCCCACGCCGAC
rnacentral:lncRNA from 1 species